rnacentral:sRNA from 1 species
GGCCUAACCCUCACAGUUUGACUUUGAGAUAUGGCAAGAAUACCCAUCCCUGAUACUGAACCCCUCGUUCAGCAAUCUCAGGGAUGGGACAUAUCCGAAAGGGUAUGUGGACCGCAAGGUUC